GCCGCCGUAGCUCAGUUGGUAGAGCACCACGCUGUUAUGGCGUACAGUCACCCUGUAGGCCGCAGAGACGUGGUUGUCCCAGGUUCGAGUCCUGGCGGUGGCG
rnacentral:tRNA from 1 species